rnacentral:rRNA from 1 species
ACGCACGCUGGCGGCAUGCCUAACCCCUGCAAGUCGAACGAGACCUUCGGGUCUAGUGGCGCACGGGUGCGUAACGCGUGGGAACCUGCCCUUAGGUUCGGAAUAACUCCCCGAAAGGGGUGCUAAUACCGGAUAAUGUCUUCGGACCAAAGAUUUAUCGCCUUUGGAUGGGCCCGCGUUGGAUUAGCUAGUUGGUAGGGUAAAAGCCUACCAAGGCGACGAUCCAUAGCUGGUCUGAGAGGAUGAUCAGCCACACUGGGACUGAGACACGGCCCAGACUCCUACGGGAGGCAGCAGUGGGGAAUAUUGGACAAUGGGCGAAAGCCUGAUCCAGCAAUGCCGCGUGAGUGAUGAAGGCCUUAGGGUUGUAAAGCUCUUUUACCCGGGAUGAUAAUGACAGUACCGGGAGAAUAAGCUCCGGCUAACUCCGUG